rnacentral:rRNA from 1 species
UGAGGAAUCUUGCGCAAUGGGGGAAACCCUGACGCAGCAACGCCGCGUGAGUGAGGAAGGCUUUCGGGUCGUAAAGCUCUGUCGGAUGGGAAGAAAUGGUUGGAAGCUAAUACCUUCCAUCCUUGACGGUACCAUCAGAGGAAGCACCGGCUAACUCCGUGCCAGCAGCCGCGGUAAUACGGGGGGUGCAAGCGUUGUUCGGAAUCAUUGGGCGUAAAGCGCGCGCAGGCGGCUUGGUAAGUCAGAUGUGAAAUCCCUGGGCUUAACCCAGGAAGUGCAUUUGAUACUGCCUCGCUAGAGUACGGGAGAGGAAAGUGGAAUUCCUGGUGUAGAGGUGAAAUUCGUAGAUAUCAGGAGGAACACCGGUGGCGAAGGCGACUUUCUGGCCCGAUACUGACGCUCAGGCGCGAAAGCGUGGGGAGCAAACAGG